CUGCGGAAGGAUCAUUAAACGAAUGAACAUGUUUCUCAGCAUGAAUUUCUUCAAUACCCAUCUGUGUACCUUACCUGUUGCUUCCGUGUCGCGCGUGCUGGAUAGCGUGUCUCCGCCACCUUCCCACCGAGUGUGGUGGGAAUCACGGAGUGUCGGCACGGAAGGCUUUACCACAAACCCUUGUGUUUCCAUGUUUUCCGUCUGAACUGUCAUAAGAAUAAUUAAAACUUUCAACAACGGAUCUCUUGGUUCUCGCAUCGAUGAAGAACGCAGCGAAAUGCGAUAAGUAGUGUGAAUUGCAGAAUUCCGUGAAUCAUCGAAUCUUUGAACGCACAUUGCGCCUCCUGGUAUUCCGGGAGGCAUGCCUGUUCGAGCGUCAUUAAAAUCAAAUCAAGCGAUUACGUUUGGUCAUGGAGGAAGAGUCCACACUGUGUGGUCUCCCCACCGAAAUCCAAAGGCGGAAAGACUCCGGUACACGGCGUAGUACUAACGUUCGCUUCGUACCUGGGAUCCUCCCAGCCGGCAAACCCCCAACAAUUCUCUUGAUUGACCUCGGCUCAGGUAGGGAUACCC
rnacentral:rRNA from 1 species